rnacentral:tRNA from 1 species
GCCCCCGUAGCUCAGCAUGGAUAGAGCGACUGCCUCCUAAGCAGUAGGUCGGGAGUUCGAAUCUCCCCGGGGGCG